CCUACGGGGGGCAGCAGCGGGGAAUAUUGCACAAUGGGGGAAACCCUGAUGCAGCGACGCCGCGUGAGUGAAGAAGUAAUUCGUUACGUAAAGCUCUAUCAGCAGGGAAGAAAUACUGACCUUACGGUCAGCAGACGGUACCUGAGUAAGAAGCCCCGGCUAACUACGUGCCAGCAGCCGCGGUAAUACGUAGGGGGCAAGCGUUAUCCGGAUUUACUGGGUGUAAAGGGAGCGUAGACGGCAGAGAAAGUCUGAAGUGAAAGCCCGCGGCUCAACCGCGGAACUGCUUUGGAAACUUUUCGGCU
rnacentral:rRNA from 1 species